rnacentral:rRNA from 2 species
AUGCAAGCCGAGCGGUAGAAGUCCUUCGGGACUUUGAGAGCGGCGUACGGGUGCGUAACACGUGUGCAACCUACCUUUAUCAGGGGAAUAGCCUUUCGAAAGGAAGAUUAAUACCCCAUAAUAUAUUGAAUGGCAUCAUUUGAUAUUGAAAACUCCGGUGGAUAGAGAUGGGCACGCGCAAGAUUAGAUAGUUGGUGAGGUAACGGCUCACCAAGUCAAUGAUCUUUAGGGGUCCUGAGAGGGAGAUCCCCCACACUGGUACUGAGACACGGACCAGACUCCUACGGGAGGCAGCAGUGAGGAAUAUUGGACAAUGGGUGAGAGCCUGAUCCAGCCAUCCCGCGUGAAGGAUGACGGUCCUAUGGAUUGUAAACUUCUUUUGUAUAGGAAUAAACCUACUCUCGUGAGAGUAGCUGAAGGUACUAUACGAAUAAGCACCGGCUAACUCCGUGCCAGCAGCCGCGGUAAUACGGAGGGUGCAAGCGUUAUCCGGAUUUAUUGGGUUUAAAGGGUCCGUAGGCGGACCGAUAA